GUUGAAUUUGUUUUUGUAAAAAGGUUAGGCAUGAUAAGCAUGAGCUUCAGCCUAUACCUUUUUGAUUAGCGUCAUCCCUUAAAUCAUUGUCAAUGACUGGGG